rnacentral:tRNA from 1 species
AUUUAUAUAGUUUAAUAAAACAUUACAUUUUCAUUGUAAAAUUAAAAAUAUAUUUUUUAUAAAUA